AGAGUUUGAUCCUGGCUCAGAAUCAACGCUGGCGGCGUGCCUAACACAUGCAAGUCGAACGAGAAAGUGGAGCAAUCCAUGAGUACAGUGGCGUACGGGUGAGUAACACGUGACUAACCUACCCUCGAGUGGGGAAUAACUUCGGGAAACCGAGGCUAAUACCGCAUAACAUCUACGGAUCAAAUGCGUAAGCAGCUUGAGGAGGGGGUCGCGGCUGAUUAGCUAGUUGGCGGGGUAACGGCCCACCAAGGCAAUGAUCAGUAGCCGGCCUGAGAGGGCGCACGGCCACACUGGAACUGAAACACGGUCCAGACUCCUACGGGAGGCAGCAGUGGGGAAUUUUGCGCAAUGGGGGAAACCCUGACGCAGCAACGCCGCGUGGAGGAUGAAGCCCCUUGGGGUGUAAACUCCUUUCGAUCGGGACGAUUAUGACGGUACCGGAUGAAGAAGCACCGGCUAACUCUGUGCCAGCAGCCGCGGUAAUACAGA
rnacentral:rRNA from 1 species